GCAAGUCUACUUGAACUUCGGUUUGGGUGGCGGACGGGUGAGUAACGCGUAAAGAACUUGCCUCACAGUUAGGGACAACAUUUGGAAACGAAUGCUAAUACCUGAUAUUAUGAUUUUAGGGCAUCCUAAGAUUAUGAAAGCUAUAUGCGCUGUGAGAGAGCUUUGCGUCCCAUUAGCUAGUUGGAGAGGUAACAGCUCACCAAGGCGAUGAUGGGUAGCCGGCCUGAGAGGGUGAACGGCCACAAGGGGACUGAGACACGGCCCUUACUCCUACGGGAGGCAGCAGUGGGGAAUAUUGGACAAUGGACCAAAAGUCUGAUCCAGCAAUUCUGUGUGCACGAUGACGUUUUUCGGAAUGUAAAGUGCUUUCAGUUGGGAAGAAAAAAAUGACGGUACCAACAGAAGAAGUGACGGCUAAAUACGUGCCAGCAGCCGCGGUAAUACGUAUGUCACAAGCGUUAUCCGGAUUUAUUGGGCGUAAAGCGCGUCUAGGUGGUUAUGUAAGUCUGAUGUGAAAAUGCAGGGCUCAACUCUGUAUUGCGUUGGAAACUGCAUGACUAGAGUACUGGAGAGGUAGGCGGAACUACAAGUGUAGAGGUGAAAUUCGUAGAUAUUUGUAGGAAUGCCGAUGGGGAAGCCAGCUUACUGGACAGAUACUGACGCUAAAGCGCGAAAGCGUGGGUAGCAAACAGGAUUAGAU
rnacentral:rRNA from 1 species